GUUGGAUUCCAGUUCCCUAUCUCUAGGCAUGUUGCAUUCAAACCAAAGAUAACACAACAGGGUAAUGUGACAGGGGUGAGUUCGAGAGUCUGGAAAGGCCUUUCCAAGGAGAGAAUAAGAGUAAGUUCGUUCCCUUUCAAACUGUAUUCGUCAUUCUGCCUGCUGACUCUAUUUCGGUUGGCUUGGUCGAGGACUGGUGGCUGAUUAAUGUUCAAUGACCCACGGGGACAGCCCAGGCCGACAGUUCCUCAAGACCCUGCAGGUCAACGUUUCGCAACUUCCCAAGCCUCUCCCUGCUCCAGAACGAGCCUGACUCCGCUCCCAGUUUUUCCGGUAAUCUCCUCACCGCUCCGCUGCUGCAUUUUACGCACGCCCUCCAGGGAGCGGUCCUCGGCGUCCAGCUCUCAGGAUGUGGAGAGCUGCAAAUAGCACCGACAGCUGCAGCUGGAGGUAGCCGCCCGGGAAGCCAGCCAGCUGCUGCCACCACAGGGGCCAG
rnacentral:lncRNA from 1 species